rnacentral:lncRNA from 1 species
GCCCGGGCUUAAUAAACCAAACAGAAAACUAAAAGAAUAAAAUAAAAUAAAAUGUCCAAUUUGUACAGUCCAUGUUACAAAAGAAAUAAAGCCCAAAAGGCAAAUUAUACCCCAUAAACCCAUUGCACAUAUGGCCCAACACCUAAUACCCCAUUAGCCUAAAUCAAACCCAAAUACCAACACUACCCGGCAGACCCAACCUGUUACAUGACAAACCCAUUUCUAAAAGCCUACUCCUAAGACCCAAGAUGUACAAGGCCUAAAUGGUCCAAGUUGUUAACAGAACACGGAAAGCCCUAGGGUUUCAGAAACCCUAGGCGCCGCAAAUGGAAAGCUCUAGAAGCUAAACACUGUAAUCAAUGCGUCGGUUCGUCUUGCACCAUUAGCAUCGUGAUUCCAGGCCGUGAUUUCAGGCUUCGAGUCAUGCCCGAGUCAACGCCGGUGUUUGUUGUUGCUAAAUCUCCUCGAUCACCUGCAAAAAUGGAAAGAAACGAUAGAAACAAAACAAAUAUGGCAGGGAAUAACUUUAAAAUAUGCAAAAUACUAUGUACAGUGGCUAUAAAAGCCCAAAUCAGAAUGAUGUAAAAGGGGGGAUUUUUUUUGGGCAGAAAAGAAAAAGAACACACAAAUAUUCACAGAAGAAAUAAAAAAAAAUCGUUCAUUUUCCAAGAGGUGAUAUUUUGUUUUUUUUUUCAUGUAUAAAUAUACAGAUCCAUUUAUUUACUUUCUAUUUUGCAAAAACUGUAAAAAAACGAAAAGAAAAAGGGUUACCUAUGUUUUACCCAGAAACGAAGGCUUUUAGCCUUCUAAACCGCCGUACUCGGCGAGAUUGGUGACGGCGCGUAGACGCGUAGGGGACCUGAUGACGGAGACACCACGGCGCUCCGAGGGUCUGCCCUCAACUCUCUUUCAGAGAGUUUUCUCUCAUUUUUUUAAGGCAAGUUUAAAAAUGAUUUCAGGGCUAAAUUUUGG